GUGGUUUAGGGGGCCGAGCUCUGAAGGAGUACAGACAGAAAAAAGAAAAACAAAAAACAAAAAACGCAAAAAACAACCGAAGCAGCCCCGCUCCUCAAAGGGAGGCUAAAUUUACUGCCACCCAACGAGCGGGCCGUAGUCCCGGCUGCCACCCGGCGCCCCUCGCCCUCCGAAUGGGUCGCCUCCCCGCCGCCGCCCCGCGGGAGACUCGGAGGUGACGCUCGCCGCGCCCGGCGC
rnacentral:lncRNA from 1 species